CUCUUAUCCUGAGCUGGUGGAGGGAGCAGACCCUAUGAAACCCAGCAACCUGCUAAAUAGAUAGUGGGUCUUUCUUAUUGAAGGAUCCCAUGAAGCGAAGGUGCUAAACUGAGGCAAGGUGGAUACCUUGAACGAUAAGAG
rnacentral:ncRNA from 2 species